UUGGAUUUGCCAUAUAGGAAAGAUGUUGUGGGUCUUAAUUUGAUAUUGGUUACUGUAUUGAUAUUUGUCACGGAUCUCUUGAAUACUUUGUAAUAAUUUAUAUCUUUAUGCCCUAGACAAUAUGAUUCUGGAAUUAGUUUGGAAUUUUGAUGUGUGUAUGGAUUUCUUCUUCUGAACUAGUCUGCCAAUACUCUGUUAAUUCUAGAUAGUGAAUACGUGGGUUCGAAAUUCAGCAACUGAUCACUGCUAUCCGAUUUCGUAACCUAUGUCUUCAUGGCAGAGUACGCAGACGUCUAUUCGUCAUCACAUCCUUGUGUAAUUAGUCUAAUUAUUCCAGUUACAUGUUUACCAUUUGAUAGGGAAGUAUUUAGUUUAUAUUAUGUCUCGUACUUCAUAGUAUGUUUUGUUGUUGACUAUCCCUAUACAUAGUAGUUCGUUAAUUUGGUGUUUGGGGUGUUUAGACAAAUGAUUAAUUUUUUUUAGUAUUUUCCCACUUCUUUCCUUAGGCAUCAGUUGUUGUUUAGAUUCAGGAAUAUUUCCUGGAUAAUUCUAUGUAUGCGAGAACCCAUGAAUCUACAGUUUUAUUUAAAAUUGGUUGCACGUUCUCAACAUAUUUUUUUUUUCUUUCUAUCAUGUAUCAUGGUGUCAUAGAACUUGUAAGUUCUCUAUUUAGAUUUUAUUAUUACAAUUGGUUCUUUACCUAUGUUUGGUUAUUCUAAUACCCCUGUUGUAGCAAGAUGCUAUAAUUAGUGUGAAUACCAGCAUGAACCAAUUUUAGUUCAUUUAGUAUUAGUGAGAAUUGGUCCAAAAAUCUUUCUGAUCGUUUUUCUUUGGAUAUGCUCUUAUAAAUCUGGUGUCCAUUGAUAGUCCGAUUUUGGAUUAAGUGUCCGAUUCUUCACUUAUUUUGUUUAUUCGGUUGGAUAGGUUCGUGUUACCGGAUGUGGGUGUACGUAGACCUAAUUUAUUUCUAUGAUUUAGUAUUGGUGUGAAUUGGUCAAUAAAUCUUCCUGGUCGUUCUUUUUUGGAUAUGCUUUUAUGAAUCUGGUGUCCACUGAUAGUCCGACUUUGGAUGUCUUUGAGUGUCCGGUUCCACAUUUAUUUUGGUUAAUGAGUUUGGAUACCUUUGGUAUGUUUAUUAUUUGUAUUAUUUGAUAUUGGUGAGAAUCGUUCCAUAAAUCUUCCUGAUUGUCCUUCUAUGGAUAUGCUAGUACGAAUCUGGUGUCCAUUGUUAGUUCAGUUUUGGAUUAAGUGUUCGAUUCUUCACUUAUUUUAGUUAUUGAUUUCUUUGGUCUUACUUUAGUAUAUUUACUUGCGUUAUUGUACGAAUAGGCUCACACCUUUGCCUGGUUGUUCGUCCUUGGAUAUACACUUUAUAAAGCUGAUGUCCCUGGAUAGUUCAAUUUUGGAUUUAGGGCCCAUUCGACAUUUAUUUGUCAUUAUGAACUUUAGUAAAUUAUUUAGUUUAUCUUUGGCUUUUAGACAAAAUGCCGAGGAUAUCUUAAUAUCACUUCGAGUCAUCUGUUGCGGUUCAUGAUAUCUGCUGCAGUGACCAUCCUGCUUUCUCCUGAGGCAUGGUUUGUAGUUAUUUGUAAUCUUGCGAAUCGACGAGAAAUAAUACACUACUACUACUUUAGUUUAAUAUUUAGAGAUAUAAAAAAAAAUUUUUGAUUAAAUUUUUUUUUCUCCCAGUAGGAGGAGAAUGUAACGUUCCGUCACUUAUCUAAUUAAUUAUUAAUGGGAACAACUUAUUGGAUUAUUGUUAAAAUUAUUUUCUUAUAAUAUUAAAAACCCGUUCGCACAAAAUUCCCUUAGCGACGUCAUACUGGGUGUAUCGUGGCCACAUUGAUAUUUCGUGAGGUUGGUACUGACGCCUGUCGCCAGCUGUCACGAGGUCGGAACGGUGAAGGGAGGCCAUUGACUUGGGAGUGUCAUGUGAGGGCAGAUGGCGGCGUGAAUUUCUUUGUAAAUUAAAUAAGUUAUUUCCUGUUGCAUAGUUCAAUUAUUGCUAUUGCAAGUUAUAUUUGUUUUUUUUGGGUGAAUUAAAGUGACGGAAUAAUGGAACUGUAAGAAAACGGAUCUCACGCCGCCAUUCUGGAGAAAUCUCAUUACUGAUGGUAAACCCUCUCUAACACCGAGAGCAGACACUUCCAACGUUCGAUCAAUCAGGGAACAAGCCAAAGGAUACCGUCUCCCAUUUGUUUUUGUAUUGAUUCAUCAUCCUACACCCUCCGAGGGUAGUUUCAUUAGCUAUUGGGCAGUUGCACCACUUCGGUGAUAACUUCGUUCCACGGAUUUGGUACCAGACACCAAGGAUCGUUGUUGGAACAUGUGAAAAGGGGUUUGUUUUGGGAGACAUUUGUUCAUACCAGUUAAAGACAUAUUUUUUUUUUCUAGUAAUAUUCAGGACAUUUCAUACUUUCAUAAUUUAAUUACACAUAUAUGUUUUUCUUUCUCCACAAAUUUAAGUACAUUUUAGAUAUAACAGCCAUACCUUACAGUUAGUAGUGUUCCCCAAAUUUAUAUAAUUCCUGGUAGAAGUUUUGAGCUCGAAUAUUCUCCACCUACAUGUUCUUUUCACUUGGUUUGUAUUAAUUUUAGACUUGUUUCCUCAUUUAAUUUAAAAAUAAUAUUAGUUCAAUUCACCUAAAUUUAAAAUCAUUUAACUUGCUUCAUAAUUUUCAAUUUUUAUUAGAUUUUUUGGUAAAUAUUAUUUAACUUUCGCUAUUAAACUUUUUAUAUUAAAUUCGAAUAAAUCCCUAGUACCCAUCCCCUCAGGAAGGUACUAGUUUUACUUGCUGUUAGUAUUUAGAACCACUAGUCAGAAAAGGAUCUUUGUAUCCAGUACUAAGUUGGUUCAUUUAGGGACUUGUUACCCGUCAUCUCAUUGAGAGUUGUAUAAUAUAUAUUAUAUACAUUAGGUAUUUUCAUUGUUCUAAUAUCAGGUAGUAUUCAAUUAGGGUGUACGUAUUACAAUCGUACAAGUGUUAUUUGGUGAAGGGUUCAUACUAAUCUAGGUGUAGUUUGUACUUCCUAUAUUAGAGGUACUCAUUUGUAAAAUUUUCUAACCUCAUUCACAUUAUGGUUACAUUAUUUAAUUGUAUAAAUCUGUAAAUGACUUUCACUAGUAUCUACCAUUUCUUGUCAUUUUAGAGUCACAUACUAGUCACUUGUUUUAACUCAGAGAUUGUGAAUAUCUAGUAGUUAUAUUUAAUAAAUAUAUACAUUUAUUGUGAA
rnacentral:lncRNA from 1 species